rnacentral:rRNA from 1 species
UGCUUCGGAAUCUGCCCAGUAGUGGGGAAUAACCUGGGGAAACUCAGGCUAAUACCGCAUACGAACUAAGGUUGAAAGCAGGGGAUCGCAAGACCUUGCGCUAUUGGAUGAGCCGAAGUCGGAUUAGCUAGUUGGUGAGGUAAUGGCUCACCAAGGCGACGAUCCGUAGCUGGUCUGAGAGGACGACCAGCCACACUGGAACUGAGACACGGUCCAG